rnacentral:rRNA from 1 species
ACUCCUACGGGAGGCAGCAGUAGGGAAUCUUCCACAAUGGGCGCAAGCCUGAUGGAGCAACACCGCGUGAGUGAAGAAGGGUUUCGGCUCGUAAAGCUCUGUUGUUAAAGAAGAACACGUAUGAGAGUAACUGUUCAUACGUUGACGGUAUUUAACCAGAAAGUCACGGCUAACUACGUGCCAGCAGCCGCGGUAAUACGUAGGUGGCAAGCGUUAUCCGGAUUUAUUGGGCGUAAAGAGAGUGCAGGCGGUUUUCUAAAGUCUGAUGUGAAAGCCUUCGGCUUAACCGGAGAAGUGCAUCGGAAACUGGAUAACUUGAGUGCAGAAGAGGGUAGUGGAACUCCAUGUGUAGCGGUGGAAUGCGUAGAUAUAUGAGAA